AGAGUUUGAUCCUAGCUCAGGGUGAACGCUGGCGGCGUGGAUAAGGCAUGCAAGUCGAAUGCAUUUAGUUGCAUGGCAGACGAGGUAGUAACACGUAGGUACGUACCCCAUAGUCAAGCAUACGCGGUCGAAAGAUCGUAUAAUUCUUGAUGGUCCGCAAGGGUAAAGAUUUAUCGCUAUGGGAGCGGCCUGCGUUGUAUCAGCUUGUUGGUAAGGUAAUGGCUUACCAAGGCUACGACGCAUAGGGGAGGUGAGAGCCUGACCCCCACCGAUGGAACUGAGACACGGUCCAUACUCCUACGGGAGGCAGCAGCCGAGAAUAUUCCGCAAUGGACGAAAGUCUGACGGAGCGACGCCGCGUGAAGGAUGAAGGCCUUCGGGUUGUAAACUUCUUUUAUGAGGGAGGAAAUUUUGACGUUACCUCAUGAAUAAGGAGCUCCUAAUUCCGUGCCAGCAGGAGCGGUCAUACGGAAGCUUCAAGCGUUACCCGGAAUCACUGGGCGUAAAGGGUGUGUAGGUGGUCGUAUUAGUCUUCUGUUAAAGGUCCGGGCUCAACCCGGGAAAUGCGGAGGAAACGGUACGACUAGAGGAUAUGAGUGGUGUGCGGAACUCAUGGUGUAGGGGUGAAAUCCGUUGAUAUCAUGGGGAACACCAAAGGCGAAGGCAGCACACUGGCAUAUUCCUGACACUGAGACACGAAAGCGUGGGUAGCGAACGGGAUUAGAUACCCCGGUAGUCCAUGCCCUAAACGUUCCUAACUAGCUUUGGGGAGUAUCGACCCUCUCCGAGGCGAAGCUAACGCGUUAAGUUAGGCGCCUGGGUAGUACGAGCGCAAGCUUAAAACUCAAAGGAAUAGACGGGGACUCGCACAAGCGGUGGAGCGUGCGGCUUAAUUCGUCGCUAAGCGUAGAACCUCACCAAGGCUAGACAUCUACGGGAACUCACGCAGAAACGCGUGGGGCCUUCGGGCUCGUAGACAGGUGAUGCAUGGCCGUCGUCAGUUCGUGGUUUGAAUUGUACCGUUAAGUCGGGCAACGAACGCAACCCCUGCUGUCUGUUACAAGUGUCAGGCAGGACUGCCCUUUUUGGGAGGAAGGUGGGGAUGACGCCAGGUCCGUAUUUCCCUUGAUGCCUUGGGCAGCACGCGCGCUACAAUGGGUGCUACAACGGGACGCGACGAGGUAACUCUGAGCAAAUCCUUUAAAAGCAUCCUCAGUUCGGAUUGUGGGCUGCAACUCGCCCACAUGAAGUCGGAAUCGCUAGUAAUCGCAGGUCAGCUAUACUGCGGUGAAUACGUUCUCGAGUCUUGUACUCACCGCCCGUCAACACAAG
rnacentral:rRNA from 1 species